rnacentral:rRNA from 1 species
AGCAGCCGCGGUAAUUCCAGCUCCAAUAGCGUGUAUUAAAGUUGCUGCAGUUAAAAAGCUCGUAGUUGAAUUUCGGGACCAUCAUGUCGGUCGUGCCUCGGUACGUACUGGCAUUGUUGGUUUCUCUCUUCUGACGAACCAUGAUGUCAUUAAUUUGGUGUCAUGGGGAAUCAGGACUGUUACUUUGAAAAAAUUAGAGUGUUUAAAGCAGGCUCACGCUUGAAUACAUUAGCAUGGAAUAAUGAAAUAGGACGUUUGAUUCUAUUUUGUUGGUUUCUAGGAUCGACGUAAUGAUUAAUAGGGAUAGUUGGGGGCAUUAGUAUUCAAUUGUCAGAGGUGAAAUUCUUGGAUUUAUUGAAGACUAACUACUGCGAAGGCAUUUGCCAAGGAUGUUUUCAUUAAUCAAGAACGAAAGUUAGGGGAUCGAAGACGAUCAGAUACCGUCGUAGU